UGCUUUCAGUGGGAAACUUUUGGCGUCAGAAUUCGACACGAGGACAUGAGAUGUUUAUCGCUAUGAAAUCACGUUCAAGAAGUCUCAUUCAGCACACAUCGCGCGAUACUUGCUAUCAGUUCCACAGUUUGGCUGAAAAGACGUAAAGGCAGUCAGCCCAGUGGUGUUUCUGGAGAGGGAUUCCUUCAGAAAUGGAGAAGACAGAAAGCUGCGGAGGCAGAUAUUUGCAGCAGAUUGUUUGAGGAUAACGCUGUAGCUCCAUCAUGCACAAGGACUCACCUCGUUAACUCUUUAUCCCCCACACACACAGAUAUGGUCCCUGGAUCAGUGAUUAGACUUUGCAGUGGUUUGAUUUUUGCAGAAGAUGUAACUUUGUUUUAUUUAUAAGCUCAUAAUGAAUACAUUACAGAACCAGUGAUGAAAACAAUAGUUAAAAAUAGUAUUUUUCGUAUUGAUAAAGCAUUUUGUUCUCUUUUUCAAGCUUCAUACAGUGAACUUUUUAGACUUUAAUUAAGAGUUUUAGUAAAGGAGAUAUUCAUACACAGUCAUCCCCUAGCUCCAGUCAUGAAGUGAAUUCAUGAUGUUAUGUCAAAGCUAGCAGGUGUUUGUUUUCCUGAACACUUUCUCUGUCUUCCAUUGUUCAGACAAUCAGUGUUUAUUUGAUGCUGUGCUGAUUGAGUUUUAUAGAUGAUAUUGCACACUUGACAUGCAUGUCUUCAUGGUGUUUUUUUUUGUGAGUUUGAAACAUUUACAUUGUGUUGUAUAACAUUUUGGUCAAUUUAAUUUUUUUAAUAAAAUUGAUCUUUUUCCAGUGUUCUCUGAAAGACAUACUGUAUUUACUGUUUUGUUUUUUAAUAAAAGCAUUUUCAUUUGCAUACUGAAAAUAGUUAAUGUUUACAACAUAACUGCCUUUUUAUUCUUUAUGGUGGCAAAAACGAGCUUGGUGACAGAGGAUGCAGUGUAGUAAUUUGGGCAUGUUGUCUUUAAAUGAGUUUGACAUAUCAAUAAAUAAUGGAAGAUCCUUACAAAAAUAUGCAUGUUUAUUAUGCUUUAUGUAUUUAUUUGUUCAUUCAUUCAUUCAUUCAUUUAUAAUUUCUGUUUUUAUUCCUAGGGUUCAAAUGGUAGAGAAUGGUAAAUCACAGAAACACAAAUGUGAACAAUUUUAACUUUAAAACACAAUGUAAUAUACAAUGUAAAUUUUAGAAGCACGUCAUUUGAUUAGUAAAUAUAUUUGUCUUUGGUCAAAAAAAAAAAAAAAUACAAAUCUUAAAAAUGUGUCUUAUAUUUAAUGAGAGGAAUCUAUCUGUUGGAUACAACUGCGACUGCUGGGCAUGUGCACAUCAAUAUUGCCCAAUGUUUGUCAAGCUGAACAACGGAGGAAGGUGAAGACGUUAAUAAAACAGUAUCUUAUAAGUAGCAAGCUUAA